rnacentral:rRNA from 1 species
UAGGGAAUUUUCCGCAAUGGGCGAAAGCCUGACGGAGCAACGCCGCGUGAGAGAAGACGGUUUUCGGAUUGUAAAUCUCUGUUUUUGGGGAAGAAAAAAAUGACGGUACCCAAAGAGGAAGCCCCGGCUAACUACGUGCCAGCAGCCGCGGUAAUACGUAGGGGGCGAGCGUUAUCCGGAUUUAUUGGGCGUAAAGGGCGUGUAGGCGGUAGAUUAAGUUGGUUGUAAAAGGCAAUGGCUCAACCAUUGUAAGCGACCAAAACUGGUUUACUUGAGUGCAGAAGAGGAGAGUAGAAUUCCCGGUGUAGCGGUGGAAUGCGUAGAGAUCGGGAGGAAUACCAGUGGCGAAGGCGGCUCUCUGGUCUGUAACUGACGCUGAGGCGCGAAAGCGUGGGGAGCAAACAGGAUUAGAUACCCCCGUAGUCC